rnacentral:rRNA from 1 species
UGAGCAAUCUGCCCUUCACAUCGGAAUAACCAUUGGAAACGAUGGCUAAUACCGAAUAUGACUUCGGAUCGCAUGAUCUGAAGUGGAAAGCUCCGGCGGUGAAGGAUGAGCUCGCGGCCUAUCAGCUUGUUGGUGAGGUAAUGGCUCACCAAGGCGACGACGGGUAGCUGGUCUGAGAGGGUGACCGGCCACACUGGGACUGAGAUACGGCAGA